rnacentral:rRNA from 1 species
GACGAACGCUGGCGGCGUGCUUAACACAUGCAAGUCGAACGGAAAGGCCCUGCUUUUGUGGGGUGCUCGAGUGGCGAACGGGUGAGUAACACGUGAGUAACCUGCCCUUGACUUUGGGAUAACUUCAGGAAACUGGGGCUAAUACCGGAUAGGAGCUCCUGCUGCAUGGUGGGGGUUGGAAAGUUUCGGCGGUUGGGGAUGGACUCGCGGCUUAUCAGCUUGUUUGUGGGGUAGUGGCUUACCAAGGCUUUGACGGGUAGCCGGCCUGAGAGGGUGACCGGCCACAGUGGGACUGAGAUACGGCCCAGACUCCUACGGGAGGCAGCAGUGGGGAAUAUUGCACAAUGGGCGGAAGCCUGAUGCAGCAACGCCGCGUGCGGGAUGACGGCCUUCGGGUUGUAAACCGCUUUCGCCUGUGACGAAGCGUGAGUGACGGUAAUGGGUAAAGAAGCACCGGCUAACUACGUG